UGAGGUUGCACCAUGUGCAGGCCUUGCAGGGUUUGGCGCUGGCCACGUCGUUGUAGAAGCCAGGCCCGCACGGACGGCACACCGUGUUCUGGGAGCGGUUGCAGCGGCUCACCAUCCCGUUGCCUACAGCAGAGGCCAGCGUCAGGCAGCGGUCAGGCCCUGGGCUUGCGCCCGUGGACUCCCCAAACGGGUCCUCUGCCAGGCUUGGCCGGCCCCUCGCCUGCCCCCUCCCCAGGACCAGCCUCCUGGCUGGCCCAUCCCUGCCCCAGCCCCCAGUCCCUGGAGUGCCCCGUGGGUGGCAGACCCUCCUGAGGGUGGGCCUCACCUGGCCUGCACUCCUGGCAGCACCGGUCGUUGCUGGGGUAGGUGUCCCCGACACACUGGAGCUUCGCCGUGGUGCUCAGCCCCAGGCCCAGGAGGAGCAGAGCCGCACACGGCCCCCGGCCCAGCCGCCGAGCCCCCACACACAUCCUCGUCUCCGCUGUCGCCAGAGUCUGGGUUUUCCUUGCGGGACCACCAUGUUCAGACCCCAGGGCACAGUAGGGCCUGGCCUGCGGCUCGACCCUCAGCAAAAAGGUUCAUGGAGCAUGUGGGCAAACUGAAGCAGCACUGAGUCAUGAGCGGCAACUCUUCAGUCUGGACCUUCGGAGCUGUGGCACUGCUGGACCAUGGUCCCCCUUGAGUGCCCAAGACUAGCUCUGAGCAGCAGUGACCACAGCCAUGCUACUCGGGAGGCUAAGGCAGCAGAAUCGCGUGAACCUGGGAGACAGAGGUUGCAAAGCUGAGAUCGUGCCACUGCACUCCAGCCUGGGCGACAGAGCGAGACUCCGUCUCAAAAAAAAGACACCUGUGACCAGGGCCCACGGUGAGUGUGCCUGAGCAUGGCAGAUGUCUAUGGCUGAACUGUGCCCCUGAAAUUCCUGCGUGGAAGCCCUAACCCCCAUGUGGCAGUGUUUGGAGGCCUCCGAGGAGGUCAUGAGGUGGGUCCUGGAUGACCUGGCACACGUGGACACGCAGGCAGGUUUCUGCCCUCUAUGCAAACAGCUCUCAGGUUCCACGGGUUGCCCAGAGGACGGGAACUGCCUGGAGAGCUGGGAAGCAGGUGCGGGGCUGGAGGCUCCCUGGGCCCCUUUUGUACCUUUCAAAUAACUGACCAGCCUGUGAUUAUCCAAAAGUUCAUUUCUAAAGUUGCCAAGUGGAGAGGUGCCUCUAGGGGGAAGAAAGCAGCAGGGAAGGGGCUGGAAAUCCCCUCCUCCCAGGAGCACAGGAAACAGCUGCCUGCCCUCGGCCCACCCGUGGGGAAAUUCCCAGCCAUGGAGGCCGCUGGGCCUGGAGUGGGAGGGAGUGGAGGGAGAGGCCACCCACCCUCGUACUGAGUGUCCCUAACUUGGUCACCCUCCCCAUACCCGCACAAGUAGAGAGGAUCCUGGAAGGGCUCAGAGCAUCCCAGACACUGCCUGUGCAUGCAUGUGCACACCCCAACCCAGGUGGGCAGAAGAGGAAAGUUCUGGAAUUUUCUGGAAGGUUCCACCCAGCGUUCACAUGGGUUUCCCACCGACAGUGAGAAAAAGCUUAUAUUUGUAAUUGGUUUCUUGGAGGUUCAGGUGAGCUGGGGGUCUUGGUGGGCAACACUGCUCUCCUGGGGCCUAAGUGGCCACGUCUGCCCACAAGUGCAGUGAGUGGGGCCCAUGCACCAUGGAGAGGGCACCCCCAGCACGUUGCUGGCACCUGCAGUGGCCCCAGGGUAGGGCAUGGCGCCUCCUGCUUGAAGCUGCCCAGGAAGCUUAGGUCUCCUUGUCCUGGGCUGAAGGUCACAGGCCCGAGAAAGCCUCACUGUGUCCACGAAACCGGAUGUGAGCAGCCACAGCAGACUGGACACCAACCCAGAGCUCACGACACCCGAGGUCUGCAAGGCAGCCUGCAACUCGAACCGCAUCCCCAGGGGCUGGGCUCCCCACUCCGCACAGUGGUGUCACGGGCGGCCACUGCUCCUCCAGUACCAGACGAGGUGGCCGGGGCCUCUGAGGGGUCAGGUGCCGCCACACACCCAGCUGUCCCCCCGCCCUCACGUCUCUCACCUCCCACUUCUGGGUGGGUGCACGGCCCUCAGCUGCUGUGGCUGUGAUGGUCCCUGGCUCUGGCCUGGGGCCGUGGAUGGGGAAGGGCAAAGUCCAGGCCACCGAAGGCUGGCUCCAGGGAAUUACAGCCCCUUCCAGCAGGGCAUGGGACCUUCCUCCCAACACCUGCCUGGCCAUGGCACUGUGAAUCCUGUUUGCCUGGGACCCAGCCCAGGUGCCAACCUGCCCUCUCGGCCCCAUAGGGUCCCCUGGGCAGGUGGGCUCUGGGCAGAGGCCAGUCACACGGGCACUGCAGGGCAGACUGAGGAGGGGGCACUCCUGGCUUCCCUGAGCUCCCGCCGGGAAAGCCAGGAAAGAACCUGGGCCCCCACACACCACAGGGCGGGACCCCCACCCGCCGUCCUCACACCCCCCAUUCUCUGCCCCUGCCGGGGCUGGGCCCGCCCCUCUGCACCUGAAGGCCUUGCCAUUCUCCACCCAAAACUCCCCCAGGUGGCUCUGGCUCCUGCCUUAAAUCUCCAAACCCCAAACUCAAUGGACACUUCUGCUGCCCCCAGGACCCCUGCUCACACACACAGCGCUGCCCUCUGUCCUCCCAGAGCCCCUGCCAUCCCUGCCGGCCAGGAGAACCACCUCCAACGGGCCACGACCUCCGCCUGACCCAGCACCAGCCUCCAGCGCUCCAGUGGAAACUCUGACCACAAAUGUGCCACGCUGGCGUUGUGUUUUGUUUCACACCCAAAGAAUGAAGCU